rfam:Schistosoma margrebowiei strain Zambia genome assembly, scaffold: SMRZ_contig0003221
AUCCAGCUGCCGAGUCCCAAAUAGAACGAAACGCACAUCCUAUAU